GAAAUGCGAUAAGUAAUGUGAAUUGCAGAAUUCAGUGAAUCAUCGAAUCUUUGAACGCACAUUGCGCCCGCCAGUAUUCUGGCGGGCAUGCCUGUUCGAGUGUCAUUUCAACCAUCAAGCCCCCCGGCUUGUGUUGGGGACCUGCGGCUGCCGCAGGCCCUGAAAAGCAGUGGCGGGCUCGCUGUCACACCGAGCGUAGUAGCAUACAUCUCGCUCUGGGCGUGCUGCGGGUUCCGGCCGUUAAACCACCUUCGUAACCCAAGGUUGACCUCGGAUCAGGUAGGAAGACCCGCUGAACUUAAGC
rnacentral:misc_RNA from 1 species